rnacentral:rRNA from 1 species
UGGGGAAUAUUGCACAAUGGGCGCAAGCCUGAUGCAGCCAUGCCGCGUGUAUGAAGAAGGCCUUCGGGUUGUAAAGUACUUUCAGCGGGGAGGAAGGGAGUAAAGUUAAUACCUUUGCUCAUUGACGUUACCCGCAGAAGAAGCACCGGCUAACUCCGUGCCAGCAGCCGCGGUAAUACGGAGGGUGCAAGCGUUAAUCGGAAUUACUGGGCGUAAAGCGCACGCAGGCGGUUUGUUAAGUCAGAUGUGAAAUCCUCGGGCUCAACCUGGGAACUGCAUCUGAUACUGGCAAGCUUGAGUCUCGUAGAGGGGGGUAGAAUUCCAGGUGUAGCGGUGAAAUGCGUAGAGAUCUGGAGGAAUACCGGUGGCGAAGGCGGCCCCCUGGACGAAGACUGAAGCUCAGGUGCGAAAGCGUGGGGAGCAAACAGG